GGUCGGUUAGCUCAAUGGUAGAGCACUUCGUUUACAUCGAAGGGGUUAGAGGUUCGAGUCCUCUACCGACCACAA
rnacentral:tRNA from 2 species